rnacentral:snoRNA from 1 species
GUGCUAUGAUGAUAUUAUCAACACAUCAUUCUGAAAAGAAUUUGUGUGGAGACCUUCAUAUACCUGAGCACA